GACGAAGGAUGCAAGCGUUAUCCGGAUUCAUUGGGUUUAAAGGGUGCGUAGGCGGACUUGUAAGUCAGUGGUGAAAUCUCUUUGCUUAACAAAGAAACUGCCAUUGAUACUGCAGGUCUAGAGUAUAGAUGACGUUGGCGGAAUAUGACAUGUAGUGGUGAAAUACUUAGAUAUGAUCAUAGAACACCGAUUGCGAAGGCAGCUAACGAAACUAUAACUGACGCUGAGGCACGAAAGUGCGGGGAUCAAACAGG
rnacentral:rRNA from 1 species